rnacentral:lncRNA from 1 species
CUCGAUCGAUUCAUCUUCUUCAAUCUCUGCCUCCGCUUCUAUUUGGUUUCCUUCUUGCUUUAUUCUUUAGCAGCAGCGACAACCCCUUUCCUCCCAAAACAAACCCGAAUAUCAGCUCUAACAACGUCGCUAAAUUCACCGCCUUCAGCACCAAACCAUAAAUUUAUGGCCUCCAUCGCCACCGUGAAAAUCCAUAGCCUCCCAUCAAUUAAAAAUAAAACCCUAAUCCCGAACGAUUAAUAAUUACCUAACAUCUACCGUUGUUUCUCAUCUGGGCGGAUUUGACAUCAUCAACAACAUCGCCGUUUGUCAUCUGCCUCCAUGUUCUCUGUCAUUGUUGCUUCGAUUGCCGAAGGAGGUAAAGAUUGAGCGACUGAAAGAGAAAUAGAGGCAAAACGAGAGCGAAGAAAAAUAUUAAGGGUCAAUUCUAUGAUGUAUCACAAAGCAGGUAUAUAUCAUCUGUAUCUAAGUUUAAUUAUGUGUAUUUGCUUCCGGUUAAAUGAAUUUUGGUCUAUUUUUGACUUUUUUGGAUUCGGAUAACGUCAUUUUCCAGUAUAUAUUUGUUUUUCCAUUUCCAGUAUAUAUUAGUUGCUUUGUAAAAAGGAACCCAAUUUUUUUAUAAUUAGCUUCCAUCAUUGCUGAUACCAUGAUCCCAAACAUAUCAACAACUUAUACUGAGUAUCAAUAGUCUUGGUUUAUAAGCGUAGAAAUGACAUUUCAUAGGGCCGAGUAACUGUUUGAUAAAAUGCGUCAUCGAGAGUUAUGUUAUUGAAGAUAAAAGUUUUGCUUUAAUUAUUUACUUAUUUGUAUAAUUGCAACAGAAUUGGAGUGUUAACGUUGUUGUUAUAGGGAUGGGGAGUGAAGUGAAUGAAAUAAAGAAUUCACAGGUGGUGGAUGUUCGAGCAAGAAUAUAAAAUAUUAGAGGAGAAAAAAGAAAAAAGACUUUGAGAGGUGAAGGUAGGGAAGAAAAGAGUAUAUAUUACAAAUGAAUUAGAUUAUUUAUGGUUAAUCGAGUUUUGCGGAUGGUGUUUGAUGUUAUUUCAGCAAGUGAAGUGAUUUCAUUUUGUGGUUGGAUUCUCAUUUCUCUCUUCAUGUUAGGCUGUUGAACUACUUAUGUACUAUCUUUGCGCUAUUGGUGUUAAUUAUCUUCAGAAAUUGUGUUACUUUUAAUGGAGGCAGGACUAAGUGUAACAUUUUUGUGUUUUAAGAACCACCUUUCGUGGAUCAAAGGUAAAUGCAGAGUUCCAGUUUCAGACAUCAGAUAUAUCUUCUCAAAUUCUU